GCGUUGCUGGACCAGGCCAGCUGGGUCGGCUGGCGGCUGGCCGAGCUGCUGCCGCUGAGCGAGCAGCAGCGGUUGCAGCUGCUGCAGCUGG
rnacentral:tRNA from 1 species